rnacentral:rRNA from 1 species
GAGUAACGCGUGAGGAACCUGCCUCAAAGAGGGGGACAACAGUUGGAAACGACUGCUAAUACCGCAUAAGCCCACGGCUCGGCAUCGAGCAGGGGGAAAAGGAGCAAUCCGCUUUGAGAUGGCCUCGCGUCCGAUUAGCUAGUUGGUGAGGUAAUGGCCCACCAAGGCGACGAUCGGUAGCCGGACUGAGAGGUUGAACGGCCACAUUGGGACUGAGACACGGCCCAGACUCCUACGGGAGGCAGCAGUGGGGAAUAUUGCACAAUGGGGGAAACCCUGAUGCAGCGACGCCGCGUGGAGGAAGAAGGUCUUCGGACUGUAAACUCCUGUUGUUGGGGAAGAUAAUGACGGUACCCAACAAGGAAGUGACGGCUAACUACGUGCCAGCAGCCGCGGUAAAACGUAGGUCACAAGCGUUGUCCGGAAUUACUGGGUGUAAAGGGAGCGCAGGCGGGAAGACAAGUUGGAAGUGAAAUCUAUGGGCUCAACCCAUAAACUGCUUUCAAAACUGUUUUUCUUGAGUAGUGCAGAGGUAGGCGGAAUUCCCGGUGUAGCGGUGGAAUGCGUAGAUAUCGGGAGGAACACCAGUGGCGAAGGCGG